CCUACGGGACGCAGCAGUGGGGAAUAUUGCACAAUGGGGGAAACCCUGAUGCAGCGACGCCGCGUGAAGGAAGAAGUAUUUCGGUAUGUAAACUUCUAUCAGCAGGGAAGAAAAUGACGGUACCUGACUAAGAAGCCCCGGCUAACUACGUGCCAGCAGCCGCGGUAAUACGUAGGGGGCAAGCGUUAUCCGGAUUUACUGGGUGUAAAGGGAGCGUAGGCGGCGAUGCAAGUCAGAAGUGAAAGCCCGGGGCUCAACUCCGGGACUGCUUUUGAAACUGUGUUGCUAGAUUGCAGGAGAGGUAA
rnacentral:rRNA from 1 species